CACCAUUCAAAGCGAACGUCUGUCCCUCACAAACAUUUCUAGGAACGUUGAAAGAUGCGGGACACUUUGGACACCGAUGGGGCUUUUCUUCCGCGUGUUGCUCGAGGUGCCUUCGGAGUAACAUGAGUCUGAAAACUAAGGUUGACCUAUGGUGGAAUUGGCUGCUGAGAAAUCCUCAACCUGUGCAAAGAAGUGGUUUUUCGUAUUGGACGCAGCGACAGUUCAGCUUCAGUAUGGCUUCAGCGACAGAAGAGGCGACAUCAGGAGCGACAUGAGGAGCGACAUCAGUAGCAACGCAGGUU
rnacentral:lncRNA from 1 species